GGGUCAGUUGAACAGAAUUUGUCUGUUGAGUUUACACUACACACUAGCCUUAUCAGUUGCUGCCUGUUCUUCUGCCUCCUGCUGACAGUCAGUAGCCGUUGUAUCGCUUGCUACUGUUCGAAUGCAAACGAAGUAACUUGAGGUUAGCUUUGCAACGAACUGACAACUUAAGGAGUAAAAUACAAGCAUCCCACUUGUUGAUCGUCUUCAUGGACUCUGUUCAGAAAUUGGCUUCAGGGUUUACUCUGGACCUGGGACCAUUGAAAGAACCUCUUGGGUUUAUCCGUGUCCUAGAAUGGGUAAUCUUGGCCUUUGACCUGUUUACUGAGUAAAGUCAUGCCGUAGC